CCUACGGGAGGCAACAGUGAGGAAUAUUGGUCAAUGGGCGCGAGCCUGAACCAGCCAAGUAGCGUGAAGGAUGACUGCCCUACGGGUUGUAAGCUUCUUUUAUAAAGGAGUAAAGUAAUGCACGUGUGCCUUGUUGUAUGUACGUUAUGAAUAAGAAUCGGCUAACGCCGUGCCGGCAGCCGCGGUAAUACGGAGGAUCCGAGCGUUAUUCGGAUUUAUUGGGUUUAAAGGGAGCGUAGAUGGGUUGUUAAGUCAGUUGUGAAAUGUUGCGGCUCAACCGUAAAAUUGCAAUUGAUACUGGCAGCCGUGAGUACAGUUGAGGGAGGUGGAAUUCGUGGUGUAGCGGUGAAAUGCUUAGAUAUAACGAAGAACUCCGAUUGCGAAGGCAGCUUACUAAACUGCCACUGACAUUGAGGUUCGAAAGUGUGGGGAUCAAACAGGAUUAGAUACCCUAGUAGUC
rnacentral:rRNA from 1 species